rnacentral:rRNA from 1 species
CGCGUAGGCGGCUUUGCAAGUCGGGUGUGAAAUCCCCAGGCUUAACCUGGGAACUGCAUUCGAGACUGCAUUGCUAGAGUAUGGGAGAGGGAAGUGGAAUUUCCGGUGUAGCGGUGAAAUGCGUAGAUAUCGGAAGGAACAUCAGUGGCGAAAGCGACUUCCUGGACCAAUACUGACGCUCAUGUGCGAAAGCGUGGGGAGCAAACAGGAUUAGAUACCCUGGUAGUCCACGCCAUAAACGAUGAGAACUGGAUGUCGGGAGGGUCUGCCUCUCGGUGUCGUAGCUAACGCGUUAAGUUCUCCGCCUGGGGAGUACGGCCGCAAGGUUGAA